rnacentral:tRNA from 3 species
GGGGCCAUAGCUUAGUUGGGAGAGCAUCUGCCUUGCAAGCAGAAGGUCGGCGGUUCGACUCCGCCUGGCUCCA